CUUUUUUUAAGGUCGUUUCAAUGCUAAUGAUGAUGGCUCUGGUUUCAAAGCUGCACUGCUCUCUGGUCCUCCUGGUGUGGGCAAAACCACAACAGCUCAGUUGGUGUGCAAAGAAUCUGGUUAUGAUUUCUUUGAACUCAAUGCUUCGGAUACUCGAUCGAAGAAAACCUUGCAGCAAAUGGUUUCUCAGUUGUUAGGCAAUCAAACUUUGGCUGAUUGUUUUAAAGAUGAUGCUGGUAAAGUUUCAAGCAAUCAUGUAAUUAUUAUGGAUGAAGUCGAUGGGAUGGCUGGAAAUGAAGAUAGAGGCGGAAUGAUGGUACAUAAGUUUCUUUUUUUUAUUUAUUUAAUUGCA